UAGUCAUAUGCUUGUCUCAAAGAUUAAGCCAUGCAUGUCUAAGUAUAAGCAACUAUACUGUGAAACUGCGAAUGGCUCAUUAAAUCAGUUAUCGUUUAUUUGAUAGUACCUUACUACUUGGAUAACCGUGGUAAUUCUAGAGCUAAUACAUGCUAAAAAUCCCGACUUCGGAAGGGAUGUAUUUAUUAGAUUAAAAGCCAAUGCCCUCUGGGCUCUCUGGUGAUUCAUGAUAACUUCUCGAAUCGCAUGGCCUUGCGCCGGCGAUGGUUCAUUCAAAUUUCUUCCCUAUCAACUUUCGAUGUUUGGGUAUUGGCCAAACAUGGUUGCAACGGGUAACGGAGGGUUAGGGCUCGACCCCGGAGAAGGAGCCUGAGAAACGGCUACUACAUCCAAGGAAGGCAGCAGGCGCGCAAAUUACCCAAUCCCGACACGGGGAGGUAGUGACAAUAAAUACUGAUACAGGGCUCUUUUGGGUCUUGUAAUUGGAAUGAGUACAAUUUAAAUCCCUUAACGAGGAACAAUUGGGGGGCAAGUCUGGUGCCCGCAGCC
rnacentral:rRNA from 1 species